rnacentral:rRNA from 1 species
ACCUACGGGGCGCAGCAGUGGGGGAUAUUGCACAAUGGGGGGAACCCUGAUGCAGCGACGCCGUGUGGGUGAAGAAGCGCCUCGGCGCGUAAAGCCCUGUCAGCAGGGAAGAAAAUGACGGUACCUGAAGAAGAAGCCCUGGCUAACUACGUGCCAGCAGCCGCGGUAAUACGUAGGGGGCAAGCGUUAUCCGGAUUUACUGGGUGUAAAGGGGGCGCAGACGGCGAUGCAAGCCAGGAGUGAAAGCCCGGGGCCCAACCCCGGGACUGCUCUUGGAACUGCGUGGCUGGAGUGCAGGAGGGGCG